rnacentral:sRNA from 1 species
UGUCGCGUAAGCGAUCGUUAAUGUUCCCGCAGUCUGAGAGGAACGCCUUCGGGUGACUGAAUCUCAAUGCCAUCAUAACCUGAGAGAUGGCGUCUUCGGACGGUAAAUCCGUUUAUCCUUUGAAAACGGGUAUCACUAACAACAGUGAUGAAGGUGCAA